UUAGAUCUGCAGCAGAAAUUAGAACAUGCUCAAAAAGUCUGUCUCUCUGACACUUGUAUUUUGGGGAAGAAGCAACUAGAGGAAAAGAUAAAAGAAGCACUGAAAAAUGAAGCUAAAACAAAGCAAAAAUACCAGGAAGAACAGCACAAGAGGGAACUCCUGGAUCAGAAUGUAAAAGAGCUACAAAAGCAAGUGAGAAUCUUACAAGAUAAAGGGAAUCAACUGGAAAUAACCUGUUCUCAGCAACAAUCCAGAAUCCAGCAACAGGAGGCCCAACUUAAACAACUGGAAGAUGAAAAAAGAAAAUCGGAAGAGCAUCUCAAAAGCAACCAAGAAUUAUCAGAAAAGAUAUCUGCGUUGCAGCAAGAGAAGAAAGCGCUCUAUGAAGAAUAUGGGCAAUUUUUGAACCAGCUUGAUGUCCAU